rnacentral:rRNA from 1 species
CUACGGGGUGCAGCAGUGAGGAAUCUUCCGCAAUGGGGGCAACCCUGACGGAGCGACACCGCGUGAAGGAUGACACCCUUUUCGGGCGUAAACUUCUGUUCUGAGGGACGAAAUUUUUGACGGUACCUCAGGAGAAAGCACCGGCUAAUUCCGUGCCAGCAGCCGCGGUAAGACGGAAGGUGCAAGCAUUACUCGGAAUCACUGGGCGUAAAGCGUCCGCAGGCUUCUUUGUCAGUCUGGUGUAAAAGCACGUAGCUCAACUACGUGUACGUGCCGGAAACUUCAAAGAUCGAGUCAUUCAGAGGCAUCUGGAAUGUCAUGUGUAGGGGUAAAAUCCGUUGAUCCAUGAUGGAACGCCAAAAGCGAAAGCAGGAUGCUGGGAAUGUACUGACGCUCAGGGACGAAAGCGUGGGGAGCAAAGGGGAUUAGAUACCCUCGUAGUC